AUCUGCGAUAAGCGCCGGUAAGGUGAUAUGAACCGUUAUAACCGGCGAUACCCGAAUGGGGAAACCCAGUGUGACUCGUCACACUAUCAUUAACUGAAUCCAUAGGUUAAUGAGGCGAACCGGGGGAACUGAAACAUCUAAGUACCCCGAGGAAAAGAAAUCAACCGAGAUUCCCCCAGUAGCGGCGAGCGAACGGGGAGGAGCCCAGAGCCUGAAUCAGCAUGUGUGUUAGUGGAAGCGUCUGGAAAGGCGCGCGAUACAGGGUGACAGCCCCGUACACAAAAGCGCAUGUGCUGUGAGCUCGAUGAGUAGGGCGGGACACGUGGUAUCCUGUCUGAAUAUGGGGGGACCAUCCUCCAAGGCUAAAUACUCCUGACUGACCGAUAGUGAACCAGUACCGUGAGGGAAAGGCGAAAAGAACCCCGGCGAGGGGAGUGAAAAAGAACCUGAAACCGUGUACGUACAAGCAGUGGGAGCACCCUUUGGGUGUGACUGCGUACC
rnacentral:rRNA from 1 species